UUCUUGUUAUUCCCCACUAUGUAUAUAUAUUCUUUAUUUCGAUGGUUGUUCCAGAUAUGGGAGUAUAUGAUACAAACUUUGGUAUUUGUAUCUUCAGCUCACCACAAAAAGAUUAUUCAUUACAGAAUAUGCCACGUGCACAAGACCACCACCACAUCAUCAAACGUACCGGGUUUUUCUGAAUAAUUUAAAUUGCUUACCACAUGUGUCACGUGGUAUCAACCGUACCGCUUUGACUAAGGUCAGUGAUCAAAAAUCAAUAAUCCUACACCUACUAACAGUUACGUAAUUUGUUACGAAACCUUCCUCCUAAUCCUCUCUCCCC
rnacentral:lncRNA from 1 species